GUGCUCACUUCUGCAGCACACAUACUAAAAUUGGAAAAAUACAGAGAAGAUUAGCAUGGCCCCUGCACAAGGAUGACAUACAAAUUUGUGAAGUGUUACAUAUUUUU
ensembl:snRNA U6 U6 spliceosomal RNA